rnacentral:rRNA from 1 species
GAUGAACGCUGGCUACAGGCUUAACACAUGCGAGUCGAGGGGAAACGACGGGGAAGCUUGCUUCCCCGGGCGUCGACCGGCGCACGGGUGAGUAACGCGUAUCCAACCUGCCUCUGACUGAGGGAUAACCCGUCGAAAGUCGGCCUAAUACCUCAUGGCAUCGUCUGCGGGCAUCCAACGACGAUUAAAGAUUUCAUCGGUCAGGGAUGGGGAUGCGUCUGAUUAGCUUGUUGGCGGGGUAACGGCCCACCAAGGCUACGAUCAGUAGGGGUUCUGAGAGGAAGGUCCCCCACAUUGGAACUGAGACACGGUCCAAACUCCUACGGGAGGCAGCAGUGAGGAAUAUUGGUCAAUGGGCGGGAGCCUGAACCAGCCAAGUAGCGUGCAGGAUGACGGCCCUAUGGGUUGUAAACUGCUUUUAUGCGGGGAUAAAGUGAGGGACGUGUCCUUCAUUGCAGGUACCGCAUGAAUAAGGACCGGCUAAUUCCGUG